UGGAGCUUAGUUAAAGGGUUAUAACAUGAGUUUUACACACUUAUAUUACUGGUUCAAAUCCGGUAGUUCCUA
rfam:Pichia angusta strain DL-1 mitochondrion, complete genome.